GAUAUCCGGCCUGUCCUCGUGAACGGACACACUGGAACUGAGACACGGUCCAGACUCCUACGGGAGGCAGCAGUAGGGAAUAUUGCUCAAUGGGGGAAACCCUGAAGCAGCAACGCCGCGUGGAGGAUGAAGGUUUUAGGAUUGUAAACUCCUUUUGUUAGAGAAGAUAAUGACGGUAUCUAACGAAUAAGCACCGGCUAACUCCGUGCCAGCAGCCGCGGUAAUACGGAGGGUGCAAGCGUUACUCGGAAUCACUGGGCGUAAAGAGCGCGUAGGCGGGAUAGUCAGUCAGGUGUGAAAUCCUAUGGCUUAACCAUAGAACUGCAUUUGAAACUACUAUUCUAGAGUGUGGGAGAGGUAGGUGGAAUUCUUGGUGUAGGGUAAAAUCCGUAGAGAUCAAGAGGAAUACUCAUUGCGAAGGCGACCUGCUGGAACAUUACUGACGCUGAUUGCCUU
rnacentral:rRNA from 1 species